GCGUCUGUGGUGUAGCGGUAACAUUGGGUCUUCCCAUGGGAUAAUCAGGAUUAAGUAUGGCCUAGCUCCGGGUUCGACUCCCGGCGGACGCA